GAUCCCAGGCGGCCCCUUUCAGCCCCGGGCGCGAGGCGCACCUGAGCGAGCCUUCGCCGACCUGCCCGGCCUCCUCCGUUGCCCGAACCCGCUGAGCGGCUGCUUUGGCUCGCUUGCCCCCCAAGCCCUCUAAAGAGGCCCGCUGCUCUCGGGGACGGGCAGAUGUCGGCAGAUGUGCGUGUUCCAAGCCGUUGGAGCCCGGAAGCCGCCUUUCAGGGGGCGACAAGCAGCAUCCCUGAGGUAAUGGAAGGAACCAAAUGGGGUAUUGGUCACAUGGUUGGUUGGCGCAUUGAAUAAAAUAUCAUUGAGAAGGAAUAAAAGAAUGCCGUGGACCCCAGUCAGGCGAGUGAUUUUCCUUGUUUCCCGUUUCAAGACUCUCCAAUUAGGAAUGGAAAAGGCCACAAACAGCCGGCCAUUAGCAGCAGCAGCAGCACCACCACCACCACUCUAAUAGCCUGGCUCUGCAGAUUUUCUUUCCCCUAAAAGACUGUUCAAUUACAGGCUUUGGGUGCACUGGAACCAAAGGGAAAAAGGAUGCCAGAUGUUCUUCAGAUGUCACGCUCACACACCGGCACCAUCGAAACGGCUUCUUUGGGGCCUCCAGGGAGGGAGACAAACCAGGGUCUAGUGAGACGGGAGCCUUCCCUGGUUCCUACCGAGCCUCCUCCAGCAACCGGGGCCUCCGAACUGAAGCCACCCUGAAGGACCCAGAACUGCCCUAAUCUUCGUAUCAUCUGAAGGUCACAACUGCUGAGAAUCCAUCCCUCCCUCCCAGUGAUGACCUUUCUCCAGCUGGAGGCCACCAAGAGGAACAGGCACUUUCCCCGUUUUAUUUCCCCAGAGCGAUGACACCCCCACCACCUCCGCAACCCUCCUGCAAUCGGGGUCCCAAAUGUGCCAAAGCACAGAGAACAUAAAAGGCUGGAAAGCCAAAGGGUGUGUGUGAGGCCUCGGCCCCCCACUCCCUUCUCUCCCCACCCCAGACUGAAAACUCCAGCAACGAUGCCAAAAGCAACUCUGCUCCAUCGUCCCCAACCUUCCCUCCAUCCAUUGUGCAGAAUUUAAAAAACGGAUCUAGAUAUUUUGCAGAGUGACCCGA